rnacentral:rRNA from 1 species
CAAAGGGAUUACCGGUGGCGGAUGGGCAUGCGGCGCAUUAGCUAGUCGGCGGGGUAACGGCCCACCGAGGCGACGAUGCGUAGGGGUUCUGAGAGGAAGGUCCCCCACACUGGUACUGAGACACGGACCAGACUCCUACGGGAGGCAGCAGUGAGGAAUAUUGGUCAAUGGGCGCGAGCCUGAACCAGCCAAGUCGCGUGAGGGAUGACGGUCCUACGGAUUGUAAACCUCUUUUGCCGGGGAGCAAGCGUGCGUUCGUGAACGCGCGUCGAGAGUACCCGGAGAAAAAGCAUCGGCUAACUCCGUGCCAGCAGCCGCGGUAAUACGGAGGAUGCGAGCGUUAUCCGGAUUUAUUGGGUUUAAAGGGUGCGUAGGCGGGAUGCCAAGUCAGCGGUAAAAAUGCGGUGCUCAACGCCGUCGAGCCGUUGAAACUGGCGUUCUUGAGUGGGCGAGAAGUAUGCGGAAUGCGUGGUGUAGCGGUGAAAUGCAUAGAUAUCACGCAGAACUCCGAUUGCGAAGGCAGCAUACCGGCGCCCUACUGACGCUGAGGCACGAAAGCGUGGGUAUCGAACAGGAUUAGAUACCCUGGUAGUCCACGCAGUAAACGAUGAAUGCUAACUGUCCGGCUCGAGUGAGCGCUGG